rfam:Dipodomys ordii contig_38912, whole genome shotgun sequence.
UGGCACCCAACGUGGGGCUCGAAGCACGGAUCCUGGUCUGAAUGUCACCCAAUUGAGGGGCUGCUCUCUUCAGUGAGUGAAGAUUCGCAUCGUGAUCACCGCAGAAACACCCGACUGCAAUACAGAUCCGUAAGGUAAGGGAGGCGACCCAAUUCUGGGACAAACACUUAGUAAGCAUGAACUUUUUGUUCAAGGCCUAAAAGCCUCACUCAAGGCAUGAGGAACGCGGGUUAAGAAAAAAGAUUUAACUCAAUUUUUUAUGCUCCUGGAGGAUAUUUGCCCUU